rnacentral:rRNA from 1 species
AGAGCGAACGCUGGCGGCAGGCUUAACACAUGCAAGUCGAGCGGGCACCGUUCGGGUAGUCAGCGGCAGACGGGUGAGUAACACGUGGGAACGUACCCUUCGGUUCGGAAUAACGCUGGGAAACUAGCGCUAAAUACCGGAUACGCCCUUUUGGGGAAAGGUUUACUGCCGAAGGAUCGGCCCGCGUCUGAUUAGCUAGUUGGUGGGGUAACGGCCUACCAAGGCGACGAUCAGUAGCUGGUCUGAGAGGAUGAUCAGCCACACUGGGACUGAGACACGGCCCAGACUCCUACGGGAGGCAGCAGUGGGGAAUAUUGGACAAUGGGCGCAAGCCUGAUCCAGCCAUGCCGCGUGAGUGAUGAAGGCCUUAGGGUUGUAAAGCUCUUUUGUCCGGGACGAUAAUGACGGUACCGGAAGAAUAAGCCCCGGCUAACUUCGUGCCAGCAGCCGC